rnacentral:rRNA from 1 species
UACGAAGGGUGCAAACGUUGCUCGGAAUCACUGGGCGUAAAGCGCACGUAGGCGGCUUCUUAAGUCAGGGGUGAAAUCCUGGAGCUCAACUCCAGAACUGCCUUUGAUACUGGGGAGCUCGAGUCCGGGAGAGGUGAGUGGAACUGCGAGUGUAGAGGUGAAAUUCGUAGAUAUUCGCAAGAACACCAGUGGCGAAGGCGGCUCACUGGCCCGGUACUGACGCUGAGGCGCGAAAGCCAGGGGAGCAAACGGG